AAGGAUAUAUUCGGAAACAUCUUCUUACGAAGAUGAAAUAGGAAUAACAUUGACAUAUUGUAUUCAGUUUUGAGUGCUCAUUAGAGUAUUCAUUGCAUUGUUUUGUACAUUGAAAACUAGAUAAGUAAGUAAAAUUUAUGAUUUUACCAAGCAAAACCGAGUGAAUUAGAGUUUUUUAACAAGCUUUGAAUUCAAAAAGAAAUAAUCGCUAGUGUUCGAAAGAACACUCACAGAUUAAUAACAUUUUGGGUUUUYAACCGACUUGUUCGUGUUGAAAGUCAAAAAA
rnacentral:misc_RNA from 1 species